rnacentral:rRNA from 1 species
CCUACGGGAGGCAGCAGUAGGGAAUCUUCCACAAUGGGCGCAAGCCUGAUGCAGCAACACCGCGUGAGUGAAGAAGGGUUUCGGCUUGUAAAGCUCUUUUGGUGGAGAAGUACGAGCGUGGGAUUAUCUGUUCACGCCUUGACGGUAUCCAACCAGAAAGUCCCGGCUAACUCCGUGCCAGCAGCCGCGGUAAUACGUAGGUGGCAAGCGUUAUCCGGAUUUAUUGGGCGUAAAGCGAGCGCAGGCGGUUGGUCAGGUCUGAUGUGAAAGCCUUCGGCUUAACCGAAGAAGUGCAUCGGAAACCGGGAGACUUGAGUACAGUAGAGGACGGUGGAACGCCAGGUGUAGCGGUGGAAUGCGUAGAUAUAUGGAAGAACACCAGUGGCGAAGGCGGCUGACUGGACUGAGACUGACGCUGAGGCUCGAAAGCAUGGGUAGCGAACAGGAUUAGAUACCCGUGUAGUC